UCCACAAAAUGAGCAACAAUGAAUUGCAAUCCUGAAUUUGUAAAGUCUUUUGUAGUUAUAAGUGUCAUAGCUGGUAUGAGUUAAAAUCGGGUGUGAAAACCAGUUAACUUCUACUGAGUGAUUAGCUGAUUGGCACCAGUUAAAAAGAUCACCUUAAAAUGCAUAAGGUUACUGGAUUUGUGACUGGAUGUCGAUCUUAACAAUGUAUGGAUCUG